rnacentral:pre_miRNA from 1 species
UGUCUCACAAAGUGGUUGUCAUAUGUGUCCAGUUUUUAGUCGCUUCAUAUCACAGCCAGCUUUGAUGAGCGACG